rnacentral:rRNA from 1 species
AAUCAACGCUGGCGGCGUGCCUAACACAUGCAAGUCGAACGAGAAAGUGGAGCAAUCCAUGAGUACAGUGGCGCACGGGUGAGUAACACGUGACUAACCUGCCUUCGAGUGGGGAAUAACCUCGGGAAACCGGGGCUAAUACCGCAUAACAUCAUCGGGUGAAAUUCCUGCUGAUCAAAAGUUUUUUGCUUGAAGAGGGGGUCGCGGCUGAUUAGCUAGUGGGUGGGGGAACGGCCCACCAAGGCAGUGAUCAGUAGCCGGCCUGAGAGGGCGCACGGCCACACUGGAACUGAAACACGGGCCAGACUCCUACGGGAGGCAGCAGUGGGGAAUUUUGCGCAAUGGGGAAACCCUGACGCAGCAACGCCGCGUGGAGGAUGAAGUCCCUUGGGACGUAAACUCCUUUCGAUCGGGAAGAAUAAUGACGGUACCGGAAGAAGAAGCCCCGGCUAACUUCGUGCCAGCAGCCGCAGUAA